GUGAUAGGGUACUUUUUGUAGAACGGUCCGGCGAGCGAUUGUAUGCAGCAAGGUUAAGGACUUAAGGUCUGGAGCCGAAGCGAAAGCGAGUUUGAAAAGGGCGUUAAGUUGCAUAUAAUGGGCCCGAAACCGGGUGACCUACCCAUGGUCAGGUUGAAGUGGAAGUAAAAUUCCAUGGAGGACCGAACCCACGUCUGUUGAAAAAGGCGGGGAUGAGCUGUGGUUAGCGGUGAAAUUCCAAUCGAACUCGGAUAUAGCUGGUUCUCAUCGAAAUAGCUUUAGGGCUAGCCUCAGGAUAGUUUAGCGGAGGUAAAGCACUGAAUGGGCUAGGGGGCUUCACGGCUUACCGAACCCUAUCAAACUCUGAAUGCCGCAUAAAUGUUUCCUGGGAGUCAGACUGCGUGAGAUAAGUUUCGUAGUCAAAAGGGAAAGAGCCCAGACCUACAGCUAAGGUCCCUAAAUGAAUUUAAGUGGAAAAGGAUGUGCAGUUGCGUAGACAACUAGGACGUUGGCUUAGAAGCAGCCACUCAUUUAAAGAGUGCGUAAUAGCUCACUAGUCGAGUGAUUGUGCGCCGAAAAUGUAACGGGGCUAAAAUUCAUACCGAAGCUUAGGAAUGAUAGUAAUAUUGUUGGUAGAUGAGCGUUGUGUAAGUCUGCGAAGCUACACCGAAAGGAGUAGUGGAGAUAUCACAAGCGAGAAUGCCGGAAUGAGUAGCGAGAAUUAUGUGAGAAUCAUAAUGGUCGAAAAUCUAAGGUUUCUUGAGGAAGGUUCGUCCGCUCAAGGUAAGCCGGGAGCUAAGGCGAGGCCGAGAGGCGUAGUCGAUGCACAUACGGUAAAGAUUCCGUAGCCACCGAAGUUGUUAAAUACAGGGACACAGGAACAUAGCCUAACCCCACCGUUGGUUGAGUGGGGCGUAAGGGAGCGAAAAUUAGUAGCGAAGUAGGUGAUUGUACACUGGCGAGAAAAGCUGUAUGAAUUGACCAGGUGCCCGUACCGCAAACCGACACAGGUAGAUGAGGAGAGAAUCCUAAGACCAGCGGGAGAAGUGUUGUUAAGGAACUCGGCAAAAUGACCCCGUAACUUCGGGAUAAGGGGAGCCUACGCGAGUAGGCCGCAGAGAAUAGUCUCAAGCGACUGUUUAGCAAAAACACAGGUCUAUGCUAAAUCGAAAGAUGAUGUAUAUGGGCUGACGCCUGCCCGGUGCUGGAAGGUUAAGGGGAAGUGUUAGAGCAAUCGAAGCACUGAACUUAAGCCCCAGUAAACGGCGGCCGUAACUAUAACGGUCCUAAGGUAGCGAAAUUCCUUGUCAGGUAAGUUCUGACCCGCACGAAUGGCGUAACGACUUGAGAGCUGUCUCAACAACAUACCCGGCGAAAUUGAAGUACUGGUAAAGAUGCCAGUUACCCGUGAUAAGACGGAAAGACCCCAUGGAGCUUUACUGUAACUUGAUAUUGAAUUUUUGUAUUACAUGUACAGGAUAGGUGGGAGACAGAGAACUAAUGCCGCCAGGUGUUAGGGAGUCGAUGUUGGGAUACCACUCUUGUAAUAUGAAGGUUCUAACCUGCACCCGUGAAUCCGGGUGGGGGACACUGUCAGGUGGACAGUUUGACUGGGGCGGUCGCCUCCUAAAAGGUAACGGAGGCGUUCAAAGGUUGGUUCAGCACGGACGGAAAUCGUGCAACGAGUGCAAACGCAUAAACCAGCCUAACUGCGAGACCGACAAGUCGAGCAGUAACGAAAGUUGGAGUUAGUGAUCCGGCGGUAUGAGAGUGGAAUUGCCGUCGCUCAACGGAUAAAAGCUACCUCGGGGAUAACAGGCUUAUCUCCCCCAAGAGUCCACAUCGACGGGGAGGUUUGGCACCUCGAUGUCGGCUCAUCGCAUCCUGGGGCUGUAGUCGGUCCCAAGGGUUGGGCUGUUCGCCCAUUAAAGCGGUACGCGAGCUGGGUUCAGAACGUCGCGAGACAGUUCGGUCCCUAUCUAUCACGGGCGUAGGAAAUUUGAGGAGAGCUGACCUUAGUACGAGAGGACCGGGUUGGACGUACCGCUGGUGCACCUGUUGUUCUGCCAAGGGCAUAGCAGGGUAGCUAAGUACGGACGGGAUAAACGCUGAAGGCAUCUAAGCGUGAAGCCCCCUUCGAGAUAAGAUUUCCCAUAGCGUAGGCUAGUAAGGACCCAUGAAGACUACAUGGUUGAUAGGCCGGAGGUGGAAGUGCAGUAAUGUAUGCAGCUGACCGGUACUAAUAGUCCGAGGGCUUGACCAA
rnacentral:rRNA from 1 species